UCAGUUUCCGCGUUUGGAAGAUGCACAUUUGAUUCGAUCAGAUGAAGUUUAUCAUGAGGAGCAGAUCCUGAAAGGAACAGAAGGCAGAGGUGCGACCUGAGGAGGGCUGGUCGAGCACUGGUCCUAGCCCAGCAUUUGCCGUCGAAGCUGUGCCGCGCGCCUAUUUGUACGAAAGCAAGGCCUACGCCAUCGUUGGAGGCCAGUCCGCCUUCGCUCUAGAAUUGGCCGAAUGGUUGAUGGGCAGAGGGUGUCGCAAGUCGCUCCUUAACUCCUUAUUCAGGGUGAAAGAAAUAGGGUUCCAGCGUUUCCGGGUUCACAGAUGGCAGCGCGCUGGAGUCAGGGUGCUCGCCAGCGACGUCGACGUAUCAACGAAGGAAGGACCGUCACGGAUUGUCCAUCAAGCCACGGUCAUGGGGCCCGUCGGUGGCAUCUAUAAUCUGCUUGCGUUACCUCUGGACGCACAUAUGAUGGAACAUAAUGGCGAUGAGCUCGACGUUUUCAUCAAGCUGAAAGUUGACGGCACCUGACAUUUCGACGAGCUGUCUAGAAAAUGUUGCCCACACCUCGACUACUUCCUCGUCUUCUCAUCUCUGUGCUCAAGUUGUGGUAGCCCUUGGGAGCCAUACAGUAGCUACGCCGACUCUGUCGUUGAACGCAUUUGCGAGAACCGAGCCGCGGAUGGACUACCCGGACUCGCCAUACAGUGGGGCGCCCUCGAAAACGGUAGCCCCACUGACCAUACGACGAGCCCCGAGGGGACGUUGGAUGGCACACUGCCCCAGCGAAUCAGCUCCUGCUUGAAUGUAAUUGAACGGUUCCUGAGCCAAAGCCAUCCGGUCGUCUCAAGCUUUGUCAGGGCUAACCUGUCUUCGGAGUCCCGCAAGGCCGCAGAUAAACCGGACCUCGUUUACCCCGUGACACGCAUUUUCGGUAUUCCAAUAGUGUUUUUGAACUUAUCUGAUUCAUCCUGUCGCGCACCUAUUCAACAGAUUCCCGCCUUUAGCGCGCGUAUCUUCGGGAAAACAAAGCUUACUUGCGAACUUAGCACUCGUAACAUCAAGAUAAGGGAAGGUGACAUGCGCCCGAAUGUAUUUCUACGUCGGUGACGACUUACCUAAGUGUCAGUGUCCUACACCUGUGUACGAAUGAAGAAUUGAAAUCGGUAAUCGAAUGUAUCAGUGCAUGAUUUCUUGGAAAUUGCUUUUCUUUUGUUAAUGAGGAGGUAAAGAAAUUGUAGAACGAACGAAAAGAUGUGUCUUGGUGCAGAAAUCAUGGCUGUUCCGAGUAGCAGCCUCAACCACUCCGCAUCGUUUCGGUGCAUUAAAGAGAAGGGUACUACCAUUAUGCAGAACUAGCCUAAACCCACUGCGUUAGUAACCGUGCUAACUCUGGUAAUAAGGUACCUGGAUUGCUUUAGCGUAACACUAAACUCCCACCCUUCUCAGUUAGGCACCUUGCUUAUUAAGUUUCCUUACUUCUUAAACUUGAAUAUGGCAAUGCGGCGUUAUGUCUCUACAAAUCUAACUAAAACUACAGAAUAAAAACAAAACCACGAGACUAGGCUCAUUCAUGACGGGUUCUCUUGUAACACCGGCAUUAAGAACACUGCUUUAACGUGCUCCACUCGCUCCCCGCUUUUUAGAUCACACCCCUCUGCCAUUACCACAAUGUAUUUAUGCUUUCCCAGCAUUCAAGAACCCGAUCCGCCCAGUCCCCAGUGUUUCCCACCGCAGCUACCCCAACGCCGUUUUUUUUUCUUCAACAGCUCAUGCACCCACAAUGCAGUGGCCCUUUUUCCUACGCACAAUCAAAUACAGGAAUCGGCUGACAGCCCGUCAUGGCCAUGAUGAAUUAUCCAUCUCGGUUCGAAACCGCCAUCACUGCUUGACCUUGCUGACUGUACAAAUGUGGCGCCACUUUCAACUCUCAUCCUCCUUGUAAUGUCCCACCAUGGGUACAAUGAAUGAAUGAAUGAAUGAAUGAAUGAAUGAAUGAAUGAAUGAACGAAUGAAUGAAUGAGAAACAAAUAAAUCAGCCAGUAUCCACGACCACAGACUUGAUGGCGGCUGCUGUUGUUAAAUGUUGCCCCACCGCCCCGGACAUGAGGUAGUUGUAGCCUCGCCUUUAAUCUGCUACAAGGUGCCUUUCCCGCUUUAGUUUCGAUUUGCCUAUUGAUUAUACAUUUCAAUUAGGCGUCACAGUAAUUUGUCUUGUGCUUUUCAUCGCUCCAUUGUUUGUUUAUUCCUAUAUUCGUAACUAACUUGGU